CUCGUAGGCGGUUCAGUAAGUUGGGUGUGAAAGCUCCGGGCUCAACCCGGAGAGGCCACCCAAUACUGCUGUGACUAGAGUCCAGUAGAGGAGCGUGGAACUCCUGGUGUAGCGGUGAAAUGCGCAGAUAUCAGGAAGAACACCGGCAGCGAAGGCGGCGCUCUGGGCUGGUACUGACGUUGAGGAGCGAAAGCAUGGGUAGCAAACA
rnacentral:rRNA from 1 species